GGCCUCGUGGCGGAGACGGCGACGCACAGGAGUGCAAAUCCUGGGACCCUGGUUCAAGUCCAGGCGAGGCCUCCA
rnacentral:tRNA from 1 species